CGGGGUAGGUAUGGGUGAUGAAGACCUCGUUCUGAACAGGAGGAUCUCGACGGCGUGGCAUGCNGACUAUGGCUGUCAAUCAUGAUAGGGUAAUGCGUGUCAGACCCACGUACCUAACGCAUGACCACGCUAUCAGGACGGUCCGGAUGCGUGUUGCGUCCAUGCUAGAACAGGUACGACAACCUGCCGCAACAAUUGCUAACAACUCUUUUAAGAGAUUUGAGCACAUUGUAGGAACUGCUCUGGAAACAGAGAGGAAGGUGCAGGCAACGAUAGGUCUGUAUGCUCCGAAUCUGCUGGGCUACACGCGCGCAACAAUGGUAAGGACAAUGUGAUGCAACUCUGAAAAGAGAAGCUAAUCCUCGAAACCUUAUCUUAGUCUAGAUUGAGGAUUGUAACUCAUCCUCAUGACAUUGGAAUCUCUAGUAAUCAGAUGUCAACAUCGUCUGGUGAAUAUGUCCCUGCUCCUUGUACACACCGCGUAAAA
rnacentral:rRNA from 1 species